rnacentral:hammerhead_ribozyme from 1 species
GCACUGCUGAGGAGUCCCAUAACGGAACGAAACAGUUGUCCAGUGC